rnacentral:rRNA from 1 species
UUAAGCGACUAAGCGUACACGGUGGAUGCCCUGGCAGUCAGAGGCGAUGAAGGACGUGCUAAUCUGCGAUAAGCGUCGGUAAGGUGAUAUGAACCGUUAUAACCGGCGAUUUCCGAAUGGGGAAACCCAGUGUGUUUCGACACACUAUCAUUAACUGAAUCCAUAGGUUAAUGAGGCGAACCGGGGGAACUGAAACAUCUAAGUACCCCGAGGAAAAGAAAUCAACCGAGAUUCCCCCAGUAGCGGCGAGCGAACGGGGAGCAGCCCAGAGCCUGAAUCAGUGUGUGUGUUAGUGGAAGCGUCUGGAAAGGCGCGCGAUACAGGGUGACAGCCCCGUACACAAAAAUGCACAUGCUGUGAGCUCGAUGAGUAGGGCGGGACACGUGGUAUCCUGUCUGAAUAUGGGGGGACCAUCCUCCAAGGCUAAAUACUCCUGACUGACCGAUAGUGAACCAGUACCGUGAGGGAAAGGCGAAAAGAACCCCGGCGAGGGGAGUGAAAAAGAACCUGAAACCGUGUACGUACAAGCAGUGGGAGCACGCUUAGGCGUGUGACUGCGUACCUUUUGUAUAAUGGGUCAGCGACUUAUAUUCUGUAGCAAGGUUAACCGAAUAGGGGAGCCGAAGGGAAACCGAGUCUUAACUGGGCGUUAAGUUGCAGGGUAUAGACCCGAAACCCGGUGAUCUAGCCAUGGGCAGGUUGAAGGUUGGGUAACACUAACUGGAGGACCGAACCGACUAAUGUUGAAAAAUUAGCGGAUGACUUGUGGCUGGGGGUGAAAGGCCAAUCAAACCGGGAGAUAGCUGGUUCUCCCCGAAAGCUAUUUAGGUAGCGCCUCGUGAAUUCAUCUCCGGGGGUAGAGCACUGUUUCGGCAAGGGGGUCAUCCCGACUUACCAACCCGAUGCAAACUGCGAAUACCGGAGAAUGUUAUCACGGGAGACACACGGCGGGUGCUAACGUCCGUCGUGAAGAGGGAAACAACCCAGACCGCCAGCUAAGGUCCCAAAGUCAUGGUUAAGUGGGAAACGAUGUGGGAAGGCCCAGACAGCCAGGAUGUUGGCUUAGAAGCAGCCAUCAUUUAAAGAAAGCGUAAUAGCUCACUGGUCGAGUCGGCCUGCGCGGAAGAUGUAACGGGGCUAAACCAUGCACCGAAGCUGCGGCAGCGACGCUGAUGCGUUGUUGGGUAGGGGAGCGUUCUGUAAGCCUGUGAAGGUGUACUGUGAGGUAUGCUGGAGGUAUCAGAAGUGCGAAUGCUGACAUAAGUAACGAUAAAGCGGGUGAAAAGCCCGCUCGCCGGAAGACCAAGGGUUCCUGUCCAACGUUAAUCGGGGCAGGGUGAGUCGACCCCUAAGGCGAGGCCGAAAGGCGUAGUCGAUGGGAAACAGGUUAAUAUUCCUGUACUUGGUGUUACUGCGAAGGGGGGACGGAGAAGGCUAUGUUGGCCGGGCGACGGUUGUCCCGGUUUAAGCGUGUAGGCUGGUUUUCCAGGCAAAUCCGGAAAAUCAAGGCUGAGGCGUGAUGACGAGGCACUACGGUGCUGAAGCAACAAAUGCCCUGCUUCCAGGAAAAGCCUCUAAGCAUCAGGUAACAUCAAAUCGUACCCCAAACCGACACAGGUGGUCAGGUAGAGAAUACCAAGGCGCUUGAGAGAACUCGGGUGAAGGAACUAGGCAAAAUGGUGCCGUAACUUCGGGAGAAGGCACGCUGAUAUGUAGGUGAAGUCCCUCGCGGAUGGAGCUGAAAUCAGUCGAAGAUACCAGCUGGCUGCAACUGUUUAUUAAAAACACAGCACUGUGCAAACACGAAAGUGGACGUAUACGGUGUGACGCCUGCCCGGUGCCGGAAGGUUAAUUGAUGGGGUUAGCCGCAAGGCGAAGCUCUUGAUCGAAGCCCCGGUAAACGGCGGCCGUAACUAUAACGGUCCUAAGGUAGCGAAAUUCCUUGUCGGGUAAGUUCCGACCUGCACGAAUGGCGUAAUGAUGGCCAGGCUGUCUCCACCCGAGACUCAGUGAAAUUGAACUCGCUGUGAAGAUGCAGUGUACCCGCGGCAAGACGGAAAGACCCCGUGAACCUUUACUAUAGCUUGACACUGAACAUUGAGCCUUGAUGUGUAGGAUAGGUGGGAGGCUUGGAAGUGUGGACGCCAGUCUGCAUGGAGCCGACCUUGAAAUACCACCCUUUAAUGUUUGAUGUUCUAACGUUGACCCGUAAUCCGGGUUGCGGACAGUGUCUGGUGGGUAGUUUGACUGGGGCGGUCUCCUCCUAAAGAGUAACGGAGGAGCACGAAGGUUGGCUAAUCCUGGUCGGACAUCAGGAGGUUAGUGCAAUGGCAUAAGCCAGCUUGACUGCGAGCGUGACGGCGCGAGCAGGUGCGAAAGCAGGUCAUAGUGAUCCGGUGGUUCUGAAUGGAAGGGCCAUCGCUCAACGGAUAAAAGGUACUCCGGGGAUAACAGGCUGAUACCGCCCAAGAGUUCAUAUCGACGGCGGUGUUUGGCACCUCGAUGUCGGCUCAUCACAUCCUGGGGCUGAAGUAGGUCCCAAGGGUAUGGCUGUUCGCCAUUUAAAGUGGUACGCGAGCUGGGUUUAGAACGUCGUGAGACAGUUCGGUCCCUAUCUGCCGUGGGCGCUGGAGAACUGAGGGGGGCUGCUCCUAGUACGAGAGGACCGGAGUGGACGCAUCACUGGUGUUCGGGUUGUCAUGCCAAUGGCACUGCCCGGUAGCUAAAUGCGGAAGAGAUAAGUGCUGAAAGCAUCUAAGCACGAAACUUGCCCCGAGAUGAGUUCUCCCUGACCCUUUAAGGGUCCUGAAGGAACGUUGAAGACGACGACGUUGAUAGGCCGGGUGUGUAAGCGCAGCGAUGCGUUGAGCUAACCGGUACUAAUGAACCGUGAGGCUUAACCUU